UCCCCCUUCUUCCAACCCUCUCUCUCUCUCUCUCUCUCUCUGCCGAUUCACCCAUCUCAUCUCUACCUCUCCACUUUCAUUUUUCCUUUGAUCUCUGCACCUCCUCACCUCUUCUGCCGAAGCACCACCCACCCAAAACUUCUUCUUUCCUUCAUCCAUGCCACUCGUCUAUAAGCCAGCAAACCUCAGUCAACACCUCUACCCACAUAAGCCUCUUUGUUGACCCAGUUUGCUGCUGCCCGUGCCUUCUCUCCCUCGUGUGGACGCCAGCAUCACCGACCGAGCUGCCACACGUCCGAAGUCCCACGCCCUCAGCCCACAAAUUCUCCUCCUCCACGCCAACACUUUCACCGAAGCAGCUGACCGGCAGAAUUUGCAACGCCUCCAGCGAAGACCACCUGUCCGCGUGUUCCUCCAUCAACCGAAGCAGCUGCUCGCGUGCGUCUCUCCCUUGCCUCCUCCAGCUCGUGUCUUCAGCGAGCAAACUCCAGCAACGUCCAGUCUUCCUCAGCUCUUGCCAGGCGUUCUCCUCCAUGCGUGCGAGACACCACCAACGAAGCAGGCCCGUGAAAUCCAGCGUCUUCUCUCGCCUGGCCUAGCUCGCACGAACAGCCCAUCUUCGGGCUUUCUUGUUCAGGCCACAAACCAGUGGGAGUCCAGCCCACUUUGAGUCCAUCAACGCCAGCAACUCACGGGAAUUUCAGCCCAUCCACUCCAGCAAGUUGGUUUGGCCCAGCACGCAUUCUUUUCCAAGCCCGCGAAGUCAGCCUGCUUCAAGCCUGGUCCAAUUCAAAAGCAAAUCUCAGAUUGGACUGAGAUUUGUUGGGCCAAGUUUAGGCCCGGCCCAAGUUCGUCGACGCCGCCGAAAAUUUCGAUUUCGGCCGCCAUUGAGUAGUCGCCACAGUGAGCCAGUUUCCGCAAUUAACCGAUGAGGUUUAUACUCUAAACUCUCACAUUUAAAGGGUGUUUAGAUUUAUUUUAUUGGGAAUUAGGUGGUUAGUUAGAUUAAAUUAGAAAUUUAAUUAUUUAAUUGAGCAUGUUAGGUGGUUAGCAUGGUUUAGUUAAGGCCUAAAUAAAUUGUACUAUUUAUCUAGAAGGGUUUGGGAAUUUUCUAAGUCCGUAUUGGUAUUUAAUUUAAUAAUUUUGGCCUAGGUUAGUAUUUUUAGAAAUUAAAUUGAAUUAGUUAAUUAAUUUUCGAAAUUAGUUAAUUAUUAAUUAUUUUUCCGGAAAUUAGGCCGAGAUAGCUGAUGACCGGAAUUUCGUGCCAAUUGCAAUGGUGUGGUUAAAUUCUACAAUUGAGUGUUAAAUUAUGCAAAUUGAGUGCUAAUUGGAUUUUUGGUAUUUAAUUCCAAAAAUUGUAAAUUUCCAAUAUUUAUUCAAAAAAUCCUGAGUGUCAGGUUUUGACACCGAAAAUAGUUUUUAGUACCAUAAGAAAUAGUGGGAUUUCAAAAUGGAAGAAUAUCAAUUUUUUUGGGUCAAGUUGAACGUGUACUCACACACGAGUAAUUUCAUGUGAAUUUCUAAUACGAGGAAAAAGGCCAGGCUCACCAUUUUAAUUGAAGCAUUUGAGUGCAACGCACGGUGCCCUAGGCCAUAUUUGAGUGAUCGUGUGAUGGUUAAGAGAAAUCGUCCCGAGCUGUUAAGCUGGACGUUAUCCCUAUUCAGGAUACCCCUGGACAACGGGAAGCCGGUCACAGUAGAUUAUUGACCCUAUGCUCCUUCGGGAAAGUCGUCUAAAAGAGACUUGUCGUGCUCAAUGGGGUGAGACGAAGCCUGGCAAUGCCAGAAGACCAUCGAAUAGAGAGAAGGCCGUGCUAUAUGCCGAGAUCAAAACUAGGAACACAUGAUUAAUUGAGUGUGGCGUUUUAGUUAUUGGAGCUUAUUUGUUGCUCAUGCUCUCAUGUUGUCUGUGAUGUAAAUUGUACUAACCUGCAGGGUGAAUCUGAGAUGAGGUAAGUCUCCUUGAUUGUGUAAUUGUGUGAUUAAGACAUUUCUGGGCGUAUUUCCCUCCUAAUCGAGGUUUAGAGCUUAGACUCGCUGAGAUUAUAUCUCACCCAUUAUGGGAUAACAUUUUCAGGGUCAUCGAGUGGAGGACCGAGAGCCGAGAGGAGGUGAUGUGAAGUGUAG
rnacentral:lncRNA from 1 species